AGUGAACGCUGGCGGUAUGCCUAACACAUGCAAGUCGAACGGCAGCACAGUAAGAUCUUGCUCUUACGGGUGGCGAGUGGCGGACGGGUGAGGAAUACAUCGGCAUCUACUUUUUCGUGGGGGAUAACGUAGGGAAACUUACGCUAAUACCGCAUAUGAUCUACGGGUGAAAGCAGGGGAUCUUCGCACCUUGCGCGAUUGAAUUAGCCGAUGUCGGAUUAGCUAGUUGGCGGGGUAAAGGCCCACCAAGGCGACGAUCCGUAGCUGGUCUGAGAGGAUGAUCAGCCACACUGGAACUGAGACACGGUCCAGACUCCUACGGGAGGCAGCAGUGGGGAAUCUUGGACAAUGGGCGCAAGCCUGAUCCAGCCAUACCGCGUGGGUGAAGAAGGCCUUCGGGUUGUAAAGCCCUUUUGUUGGGAAAGAAAAGCAGCAGGUUAAUACCCCGCUGUUCUGACGGUACCCAAAGAAUAAGCACCGGCUAACUACGUG
rnacentral:rRNA from 1 species